rnacentral:rRNA from 1 species
AAAAUAACAAUGAUUUCCCUAGUAACGGCGAGUGAAGAGGAAAGAGCUCAAAGUUGGAACCUGUUUGGCUUAGCUAAACCGGAUUGUAAACUGUAGAAACAUUUUCCAGAUACACUAGACAAAAAAGUCCUUUGGAACAGGGCAUCAUAGAGGGUGAGAAUCCCGUCUUUGGUCUAAGUAGUUGUCUAUUGUGAUAUGUUUUCAAAGAGUCAGGUUGUUUGGGAAUGCAGCCUAAAUUGGGUGGUAAAUCUCACCUAAAGCUAAAUAUUUGCGAGAGACCGAUAGCGAACAAGUACCGUGAGGGAAAGAUGAAAAGAACUUUGAAAAGAGAGUUAAACAGUAUGUGAAAUUGUUAAAAGGGAACCGUUUGGAGCCAGAUUGGCUUGAUUGUAAUCAACCUAGAAUUCGUUUUGGGUGCACUUGCAGUCUAUGCCUGCCAACGACAGUUUGAUUUGGAGGAAAAAAUUAAUAGGAAUGUGGCCUUUCGAGGUGUUAUAGCCUAUUAUCAUACUCUGGAUUGGACUGAGGAACGCAGUGAAUGCCUUUAGGCAAGAUUGCUGGGCGCUUUCGCUAAUAAAUGUUAGAAUUUCUGCUUCGGGUGGUGCUAAUGUUUAAAGGAGGAACUCGUUUAGUAUAUUUUUUAUUCGCUUAGGUUGUUGGCUUAAUGACUCUAAAUGAC